AUUCUACUCCCUCCGUUCCAAAUUAUUUGUCGCAGAAAUGGAUGUAUUUAGAUGUUCUAGAUACAUCCAUACCUGCGACAAGUAAUUCGAAACGAAGGAAGUAUUUU
rfam:Triticum aestivum genome assembly, contig: Triticum_aestivum_CS42_TGACv1_scaffold_376779_5AL